ACAAUGCGGGACUGUUAGUCUUGCAAUUGGAUUGAGAACAACGUACAACUCUUAUCGAUAAGCCAUUGGAGGGCAAGUCUGGUGCCAGCAGCCGCGGUAAUUCCAGCUCCAAUAGCGUAUAUUAACGUUGUUGCAGUUAAAAAGCUCGUAGUUGAAGUGAGGGAGUGUGUGGUCAUGAGAGCUAGUCUCGAGUGUUCACAACCUCCCCCCUCCAAUCGGUGUAGUGGGGUAUUCAGUUAUUUCACUACUCCUUUGGUCGUUUACUGUGAGAAAAUUAGAGUGUUCAAAGCGGGCGUUUGUUUGAAUAGAUUAGCAUGGAAUAAUGAUUGAAGGCUUUCGUGUUCGAUUUGAUUGGUUUGUUCAUGGAAGCAAGGUUAAAAGGAACAGUUGGGGGUAUUCAUAUUCACUAGUUAGAGGUGAAAUUCUCGGAUUUAUGGAA
rnacentral:rRNA from 1 species